AUUGAACGCUGGCGGCAGGCCUAACACAUGCAAGUCGAACGAGUGGCGGACGUGUGAGUAAUGUCUGGGACACUGCCUGAUGGAGGGGGAUAACUACUGGAAACGGUAGCUAAUACCGCAUACCAUCGGAUGUGCCCAGAUGGGAUUAGCUAGUAGGUGGGGUAACGGCUCACCUAGGCCACGAUCCCUAGCUGGUCUGAGAGGAUGACCAGCCACACUGGAACUGAGACACGGUCCAGACUCCUACGGGAGGCAGCAGUGGGGAAUAUUGCACAAUGGGCGAAAGCCUGAUGCAGCCAUGCCGCGUGUAUGAAGAAGGCCUUCGGGUUGUAAAGUACUUUCAGCGGGGAGGCGUUACCCGCAGAAGAAGCACCGGCUAACUCCGUGCCAGCAGCCGCGGUAAUAC
rnacentral:rRNA from 1 species